UACGUAGGGGGCAAGCGUUGUCCGGAUUUAUUGGGCGUAAAGAGCGUGUAGGCGGCCUGAAAGGUCAGCUGUGAAAACUCGAGGCUCAACCUCGAGACGUCGGUUGAAACCAUCUGGCUAGAGUCCGGAAGAGGAGAGUGGAAUUCCGGGUGUAGCGGUGGAAUGCGUAGAGAUCGGGAAGAACAUCAGUGGCGAAGGCGGCCUGCUGGGCUGUUGCUGACGCUGAGGCGCGAAAGCGUGGGGAGCAAACAGG
rnacentral:rRNA from 1 species